rnacentral:rRNA from 1 species
GACGAACGCUGGCGGCGUGCCUAAUACAUGCAAGUUGAGCGAUGAAGAUUGGUGCUUGCACCAAUUUGAAGAGCAGCGCACGGGUGAGUAACGCGUGGGGAAUCUGCCUUUGAGCGGGGGACAACGUUUGGAAACGAAUGCUAAUACCGCAUAACAACUUUAAACAUAAGUUUUAAGUUUGAAAGAUGCAAUUGCAUCACUCAAAGAUGAUCCCGCGUUGUAUUAGCUAGUUGGUGAGGUAAAGGCUCACCAAGGCGAUGAUACAUAGCCGACCUGAGAGGGGGAUCGGCCACAUUGGGACUGAGACACGGCCCAAACUCCUACGGGAGGCAGCAGUAGGGAAUCUUCGGCAAUGGACGAAAGUCUGACCGAGCAACGCCGCGUGAGUGAAGAAGGUUUUCGGAUCGUAAAACUCGGUUGGUAGAGAAGAACGUUGGUGAGAGUGGAAAGCUCAUAAAGUGACGGUAACUACACAGAAAGGGACGGCUAACUACGUG